AUAAAGGAAAUUUCACAUAUAUACUGUGUAAUUUAUGAAUGAAAACAGUGUCGACUUACUGUCGUUUGCGAAAGUGUCCAAAGAUAUCUUCGCAAUCGUUCACUGCGAACGUGAUUGCCGAGUGAUACAACCUGAUUUCUAAUGACGAUUCCUACGAUUUCGUCGUGAUCAUUAUUCCAAUGAUUUAGCACAAUUUUAACAGGCAGCGUUAUCAGUGAGUGACAGAAUUCGAGAAUUCGCGGAGUCGCACAUAUCUUCAAGUUCAAGGUCAUGUUGUCGCAGUGGACUCGAGAAACAGUGGAAAAUGUGGAACGCAGUGCGACUUUAUGAACUUUUGCUCGUAGUUAGCAACGGCGCGAUUAAAUAUGAAAACCACGGUUGUCACAUUCUUUAUCUCUGUCUUAAUUAAGCCGCAAUUUUUUAAUGCGAAUUAUUAAAAUUGAUUAAGAUCGA